rnacentral:rRNA from 1 species
UACGUAGGGUGCAAGCGUUAAUCGGAAUUACUGGGCGUAAAGCGUGCGCAGGCGGUUAUGUAAGACAGAUGUGAAAUGCCCGGGCUUAACCUGGGAACUGCAUUUGUGACUGCAUUGCUGGAGUGCGGCAGAGGGGGAUGGAAUUCCGCGUGUAGCAGUGAAAUGCGUAGAUAUGCGGAGGAACACCGAUGGCGAAGGCAGCCUCCUGGGCCAGCACUGACGCUCAUGCACGAAAGCGUGGGGAGCAAACAGG